GAUCAUGGCUCAGGACGAACGCUGGCGGCGUGCCUAACACAUGCAAGUCGAGCGGAGACAGGGAGUAGCUUGCUACGAACUGUUUUAGCGGCGGACGGGUGAGUAACGCGUGAGCAACCUUUCCCAGACAGGGGAAUAACACACCGAAAGGUGUACUAAUACCGCAUAAGACCACGGGAUCACAUGGUUCUGGGGUAAAAGAAUUAUCGGUUUGGGGUGGGCUCGCGUCCGAUUAGGUAGUUGGUGAGGUAACGGCCCACCAAG
rnacentral:rRNA from 1 species